rnacentral:rRNA from 1 species
UUCCAGACUCCUACGGGAGGCAGCAGUGGGGAAUAUUACACAAUGGGGGAAACCCUGAUGCAGCGACGCCGCGUGAGUGAAGAAGUCUUUCGGUAUGUAAAGCUCUAUCAGCAGGGAAGAUAAUGACGGUACCUGACUAAGAAGCCCCGGCUAACUACGUGCCAGCAGCCGCGGUAAUACGUAGGGGGCAAGCGUUAUCCGGAUUUACUGGGUGUAAAGGGAGCGUAGACGGCAGCACAAGUCUGAAGUGAAAUGCCGGGGCUUAACCCCGGAACUGCUUUGGAAACUGUGCAGCUAGAGUGCAGGAGAGGUAAGCGGAAUUCCUAGUGUAGCGGUGAAAUGCGUAGAUAUCACGAAGAACCCCGAUUGCGAAGGCAGCCUGCCGCAGCGUUACUGACGCUGAAGCUCGAAAGCGCGGGUAUCGAACAGGAUUAGAUACCCUAGUA